UGCGACAUGGUUAUCCAAAGAGGCUGUUCCC
rnacentral:piRNA from 1 species